ACUGAAAGGAACUUUUUGUCUCUUUUAUCAGGAGGAAAAUUAAGCUGUGAACUGGAAUUCCAUCAGGCUGUCUACUGUAAAGCCUCGUGGCUUUAGAAAAGGGGCAGUAGUGGUCAGAAAUGACACCCAAAAGGUUCAGCAGAUGAGACCAAGGGACUUCUGCUUCUCCCUCCAACUCUAAAUGAAAGACUGGAGAAGGGGAGCAUGAAAUCAGUCCACAAACUAAAUGCAAAUAAGAUGUAAUUAAUAGAAUCCCAGUUCCUGUGAAAGAGAGAA
rnacentral:lncRNA from 1 species